AAUGGCGAAUGCAUCAGGACAGGCUCAGUUUGGAAAUCAGGACAUCUUGUUCUGAAUUGUGAGAUUGAGAUAUACUACCAAUUGAGGUGCAGCAAUAAGCCCUUGGAAAAGAGCAUUGAUAAGGGUGAUAAUCCUGUGUGUCAUUUGCAGCUCUCAGUGCACGGUGUGUCUUCUAAGAGUCAUGUUCCUUGGGACUGGUGCAUGAAGUGGGUGGUAAACUUCAUCUAAAGCUGAACAUAUGUUUGAGACCAAUAGCAAACAAGUACCAUGAGGGAAAGAUGAAACAGGACUCUGUAAAGAGAGGUAACAGUGUCUGAACCUGCUGAAAGGGAAGUGAAGGAAACCAGUGUAAUUUGGUGAGAUUGCUGCAUGCGNCCCGUCUUGAAACACGGACCAAGGAGUCUAACAUGCGUGUGAGUUCAUGGGUGGUUAAACCUAUCUGCACAGUGAAAGUACUGGCUGGGAAAUUUGCACCAGCGACGGACCAUUCAACUCUGAGAAGUCUGAGUAUGAGCAUGCCUGUUAGGACCCGAAAGAUGGUGAACUAUGCCUGUGAAGGGCAAACCCAGGGGAAACUCUGAUGGAAGCCUGUAGUGAUACUGACGUGCAAAUCGUUCGUUAUACAUGGGUAUAGGGGUGAAAGACUAAUCGAAUCAUCUAGUAGCUGGUUCCUUCCGAAGUUUUCCUCAGGAUAGCUGGAGCUGGACAAUUUUAUCAGGUAAAGCAAAUGAUUAGAUGCAUUGGGGGCUCGUUGCCCUUGACCUAUUCUCAAACUCUAAAUGUGUGAGACCCAGUGGUUGCUUUUGUGAACAUCUGGGGCAAGUGACACCUCUAAGUGGGCCAUUUUUGGUAAGCAGAACUGGUGAUGAGGGAUGAACCUAAUGUUGGACUAACAUGCUUAGUUGCUUGCUCAUCAGAUACCAUAAAGGGUGUUGGUUCAUUUAAACAGCAGGACGGUGGUCAUGGAAGUUGAAAUCCGCUG
rnacentral:rRNA from 1 species